rnacentral:rRNA from 1 species
AAACUACGAAAGGAAGUUGACGGGGCCCGCACAAGCGGUGGAGCAUGUGGUUUAAUUCGACGCAACGCGAAGAACCUUACCAGGGCUUGACAUCCCCUGACCGCGUAUGAAAGUACGUUUUCACCCUCGGGUGACAGGGAGACAGGUGGUGCAUGGUUGUCGUCAGCUCGUGUCGUGAGAUGUUGGGUUAAGUCCCCGCAACGAGCGCAACCCCUACGUUUAGUUGCCAUCAUUCAGUUGGGCACUCUAGCGAGACUGCCGGUAAUAAACCGGAGGAAGUGGGGAUGACGUCAAAUCAUCAUGCCCCUUAUGACCUGGGCUACACACGUGCUACAAUGGUUGGUACAACGAGUUGCGAGUCGGUGACGGCGAGCUAAUCUCUUAAAGCCAAUCUCAGUUCGGAUUGUAGGCUGCAACUCGCCUACAUGAAGUCGGAAUCGCUAGUAAUCGCGGAUCAGCACGCCGCGGUGAAUACGUUCCCGGGCCUU